ensembl:snRNA U2 U2 spliceosomal RNA
AUCGCUUCUCGGCCUUUUGGCUAAGAUCAAGUGUAGUAUCUGUUCUUAUCAGUUUAAUAUAUUUAUCACUUGAUGGAUAUCUGGGCUCUUUCCAUACUUUGGCUAUUAUUAAUACUGCUGCUAUAAACAUUGGGGUAUGUGUGCCCCUUUGAAACAGCACUUCUGUAUCCUUUGGAUAAAUACCUAGUAGUGCACUUGC